CACAUCCCCUGCAAAACGCUGUCCUGAAAAAUUCUUGUCUUUCAGGAUAUCCCAGGAAGUCCUGGGAUAUCCUGAAAAAUCCCAGCACUGGUAAUUUUGUAAAUCCUGAAAUUUCAAGCAUCCCAGGAAGUCCCAUGAAGUCCUGAAAUCUGUUGUCCUGAUAUUUCAGGAAUUUUCAAGACUUUAAAUUUGUUUCAGGAAUUUUGGGGAUAUUUCAGGACUUACAUUAUUUGAUGUACACAAAUUUAUCCUGAUUUUUCAAGAACUCUUAGGACUUUAGAUUAUUAACAGGAAUUACUGGGAUAUUUCAAGACUUCAAAUAUAUGGGUUUCUUUUCAAAACUUAGUCUUUGUUGCAAUUUUAAUUCCACUUGAGUAUAUUUACAAUUCUAUUUAAGUUCCAAGAAUUGUUUGUGCAUAGUUAAAUUUGCAUAUGCUCAUACUGAUGGAAAUGUUUGGACAAUACUUUGGAAAAUGCAAAACUCACAUACAUGUAUCACAAAUCAUGUCACAUGCUACAGGCCAAAAUAUGAGUAACAACACAAUAUUAUUUUUUUUAAUUAAGCAUUAAUAUUUUCAAAGCCCAAUUUAAAAGAUCAUGAUCAUACAACCAUAGAUGUAAUACCCAAGAUAAUAGAUUAACUGUAAACAGGUUAAAUUUAUAUAGUUGCAAGUAUCUAAAUAAACACACAAAUAAUUUUCAUGCUUUAAUUCUUUAUCUUUGCCAUGUGAGCCAGAGUGAAUAAAAUGUAUAAACGGGACAUCUGGAUUCAAUUUAUUUUAGUGUAGACACUGGACAGGAAGUGUGAGGCCAUAUGCAGGGGCUCACAUAUUGCUAAAUUAUACAUUUUCUGCAAUUACUAUUAUAACUUUAAACAUUAAGAUGGUAAAUAAACAAUGAAUGGAUAUUUUUUUUAUUUUAAUAUAUAUAUCAAAUUUUCAAGAUAAAUUUAAUUUAUUCAACCAGGGAACCUUUCAAAGAAAAUGGAAAUUUAACUCCCUUAAAUAACCCCUGACACAAUUAGAAUUUGAACUUGGACAACAAGCAAAGAUGUCUUAUUCUUAACACAAAAUGAAUGCAGAUAAAUGAAAAUAACUAGGUUCCAACAGUUCUAUAUUUUAACAUUAUAUUAAUAGUGCAGAUGUUUUCUUCUGGUGACAUGACUGUUUGAUUUUAAGGAGCAUUAAUUUGAUGAUUACAUGCAUUUUGGACAAUAUCUUUUGGUAAGUACAAAUACAUUAGAUUCCACCAUUUUGAAUAUGUGCAUAUGACAAGAAGAGUAAAGAAAACAGUUAUAGAAUGUUUACAUAAGAUUUACUUUCAUCACAAUCAUAAGGAAUUAGCAAUACAUUGUUAUUACAUAUUAUGAAAAAUAUUUUAAAUAGUAUAGGUAUGCUUUUAAUAAUAACAUAAAAAAACUUAAACAUAGAAGUGUGAGAAAACUCACAUUUAGAUAUAUCACAAACAGUUUGCUGCAAUAUCUCUGAAAUAAGUUGCUUUAAUCAUUAAUAUACAUGCUUCUGGAAUACUAGUACAUGUUUGGUUUUUAAAACUUUGAAAUAUAUGAUAGAGCAAGAAAGAAAUGCUAAAAAUAAUUGUCAGUCUAUGAUUUAUGAAUGCAUCAUUUAAUGUCUUGGUCCUUAAUUGCAGGGUACAUUUAUACACCAAAUAUAUACAUGUAUGUACUCAUUUAAAGAAAGAAAAAAAGCAAGUUGACUUAAACAAAUCUGACAUACUAAUGCAUGAUAUUUGGUUUUUAUAUUUUUUUCAUCAAACUUGAGAUCCUGAACUUUUGUUUUGUUUCAGAUUUACUGUUAAGGAACAGCAGCUCUGAUUUAUAAAAAAAAACCUAUAGUGAGGGCCAAGAUACAUUUAUGUGACCAGCUUAAACUAGUCAAGACAGAGGGCUUUUUGGAAAAUUGGAGAGAAUUGAAGAUGAUAACAAUAGAAAAAACAGUGACUGUACUAUAGAAAAUAAAUUUGUUUUCAAGUGAUUUGAUUUUGAAAUGCCAUCAAAUGUACUGUGAAGAUAAAAAGUCAGAAGAAUGAAUACUGUCUUUUCAUAGAUUUUGUAAAGGAUGAAGAGUCCAUGUUAUCCCCAUGUUUUUUUUGGGGGGGGGACUUUUUUGUAAUGUCUUGAAAUAUCCCAGGACAUCCCAGGAGUUCUCAGGACAAUAUUCAAAUAAUUUACAGGUUAACAAGUCCUGAAAAGUUUUUGAAACCUGGGACUUCUCAGGACAAUCCUGGGAUAUUUCAGGUUUACUAGUCCUGAAAAGUCCUGAAUCCCUGGGACUUCUCAGGACAACCCUGGGAUAUUUCAGGUUUACUUGUCCUGAAAUGUCCCAAUUGGUCCUAUAUUUUUAGGAUCAGGAUUUCCUGGGAUAUCCCAGGAAGUCCUGUUCCAAUACUCUCCCUAAAAUUCCUGAAAAGUCUUGAAAUUUCAUUUCAGGAAGUCCUGGGAUAUCCCAGGAAAAUAUCUCAGGAAAUCCCAGGAAUGUCUUGGGAUAUCCUAGGAUAUCCCAAUAGAUUCUUGCAAGGG
rnacentral:lncRNA from 1 species